rnacentral:ncRNA from 2 species
AGUUCUGACUCGGGGUGCCUGUACCGUUAGUAUUGGCUGAGAUUUUACCCGUAUUACCUGAUCUGGAUUAUGCCAGCGUAGGGAAGUCUUGGUAUCUCAAC